rnacentral:hammerhead_ribozyme from 1 species
AUUCAGCCGACGAGUCCCAAAUAGGAUGAAACGCGCUUCCUGGAU